UUCCGGUUGAUCCUGCCGCCGGCUACUGCUAUCAGGUUUCGACUAAGCCAUGCGAGUCAAGGGGUCGUAAGACACCGGCGUACUGCUCAGUAACACGCGGACAAUCUACCCCCAGGUGGAGGAUAACCUCGGGAAACUGAGGCUAAUACCCCAUAGUUGUCAUGUGCUGGAAUGCUUUGACGAUGAAAGAAUUUCGCCUGAGGAUGAGUCUGCGGCCUAUCAGGUAGUAUGUGGUGUAAAGGACCACAUAGCCUAAGACGGGUACGGGCCUUGAAAGAGGGAGCCCGGAGAUGGACUCUGAGACAUCAGUCCAGGCCCUACGGGGCGCAGCAGGCGCGAACACUGUGCAAUGCGCGAAAGCGCGACACGGGGAGCUUGAGUGUCUUGGCAUAGCCAAGACUUUUCUCAUUCCUAAAAAGCAUGAGGAAUAAGUGCUGGGUAAGACGGGUGCCAGCCGCCGCGGUAACACCCGCAGCACAAGUGGUGGUCACUUUUAUUGAGCCUAAAGCGUUCGUAGCCGGUUUUGUAAAUCUUUAGAUAAAGCCUGAAGCUUAACUCCAGAAAGUCUGAAGAGACUGCAAGACUUGAGAUCGGGUGAGGUUAAACGUACUUUCAGGGUAGGGGUAAAAUCCUGUAAUCCCGGAAGGACGACCAGUGGCGAAAGCGUUUAACUAGAACGAAUCUGACGGUAAGGAACGAAGGCUAGGGUAGCAAACCGGAUUAGAUACCCGGGUAGUCCUAGCUGUAAACACUGCCCAUUUGAUGUUGCUUUUCCGUUGAGGGAAGGCAGUGUCGGAGCGAAGGUGUUAAGUGGGCCGCUUGGGGAGUAUGGUCGCAAGGCUGAAACUUAAAGGAAUUGGCGGGGGAGCACCGCAACGGGAGGAGCGUGCGGUUUAAUUGGAUUCAACGCCGGAA
rnacentral:rRNA from 1 species